GAGGCCCCACGUGACCCAGGUCACUCAGCAGGGAGACCCCACGUGGCCCAGGUCACUCAGCAGGGAGGCCGCCACGUGGCCCAGGUCACUCAGCAGGGAGGCCACCCCCGCCUGGCCCAGGUCACUCGGCAGGGAGGCCCCACGUGGCCCAGGUCACUCAGCAGGGAGGCCACCACGUGGCCCAGAUCACUCAGCAGGGAGGCCGCCCUCACCUGGCCCAGGUCACUCAGCAGGGAGGCUGCCACAUGGCCCAGGUUACUCAGCAGGGAGGCUGCCCCUGCCUGGCCCAGGUCACUCGGCAGGGAGGCUGCCACGUGGCCCGGGUUACUCAGCAGGGAGGCCGCCCCUGCCUGGCCUGGUCCUGGGGUGCUCAGGCCCCGCCGCCCUGGGUGUCGGAUGUUGCAGCUGCCGCCUUCCCCCUGAGGCCCAGCACCCGCUUCCCCAGGCCUAGUCCUGUCACGUCUCCUCCCAACCUGGGGCCACCGCUCCUCCCGGCCCUGACACCGAUUCCUGGAAAGCUCAUGCUGGCGCCCAGCUGUCAGCUCACCUGCUCUGAUGAGCCGUCCGCCCUGUGCAGCUGCUCUGUCUUCGUGUGGACGGAUAGCACCGGGACUCAUGGUCACGCUGCUCGGCCAGGGGCCACAGAGCCUUGGAGCCCCGUCUUCCCGCUCCUGCCUCCUGAGGGGAUUGCUUCAUGAUCUGAGCCCACCUUCCUGCGGGAAGAGCUCAGAGCAGCCCGCGCUUGGCACCCCUUCCCCCCACCCUCGGGAGAGGUGCGGUCCUGACAUCUGACAAAGGUGACAGCAGGGCUCAUCUCUCCCCUGUGGACCCUCCCCCCAGGGCCAGGGGCUCUGAGCAUUUCCACGAUGCACAGGAUACACCCACCCUGGAAUUCUCUGUGCUUGACCUUGAGGAUGGCACAGAAUAAAAGAAAGCCCUGCUCUUAGCCAAGAAGCCAGUUUACCACACUCCGAGCGUAAAACCCCUUUUGCAAACUCUAUUCUUGUUGUUUUCAGGGUGAAAUGCAAAGAAAUAGGUAUGUGUUAUUUUAACUAAAUACUUGGUUAUUCUAAAGACAGCUCCACUGGCACAGAUAUGCCGUCUCUUGCUCUCCCUGGAUGCUGGUAGAUGCUGGUGGACGGGAGGAAAGCCUGGCCUCAGGUUCCUGCCCCCCAUGUCUAAAUUCAUCCAGGCAAUAAAGUGCAUCUGUGUCUGUACAGGCAGUAACUCAGAUCAGCCCUUCCACAGUGGCACACAGUUCCACAGAAAAUCCUGUUAUCAAUAAUAGCAUCUGAAUGAAUUUGGGAAAUCACCCUGCUGAGUGUAACAUAUUUGCACUAGUAUGCAAAUACCCUUGAACACACCCAUUGGAACUAAUCCACUCAAAACUAUGCAGAGAUUAUAGGCAGGAAAAUGUCCUGGGUAUAGAUUUAUGGGAAAUGACAGAACUGCUCUCCAUUUUGCCUUCAGAAAAUUAGAUUCCCAGUAUUAUAUAUUUGAAUCUACUAUCAUUAUGCAAUUGUUAAAUUUCCUUUUUAAUUUUCAUCUCUGAAAUGUGGCUUUUGCCCAGUCAUCAAAAUAUAAAAUAACUGUUUCAAUCACUUGCAAAGGAGCUUUCUUUCCAGUAUUUUCAAAAUGCAAAACAUGGAAGUAUGAUUUGUUGUUCUGCAUUUAAGAUGCACUUUGGCAGUGGUGGGGCCAGGCCGGUGGCCACAGGGCUGCCCCGUGUUCACACGGAGUUCACACGGAGUUCACACGGAGUGCACGCUGGAGCGAAGCAGAGAACCGAACCAGCAGGUUCCUUCCUGGCUUCGUACUUGGGAUUAAAAACCCCUUUUGUUCAGAUGUCUGCUGUACUUUUUUUUUUGCUUUUGUUUUCCUCUGGUGACCUCAGCCACAGGCAGCUGUGUGAUUUGUGUCCAGUUUGGGACACAACUGUGUGAGCCCCACAGGCCCCAGCACCUCCCCUACUGUGACCUGGAGUCAGCGUCCUUGCCGUGGGCCUGACGUGUGGAUGUGAGUGGUUUCCAUUAAAGUGCACAGGACGAUGGUGAGAGUCCAUGCUGGGCUGCUGUCACGAUACCCGAGACGGGUUCAUCCGUAAAGAAAAGAAAUGUAUUUCCCAUAGUUCUGGGUGCUGGGAAGUCCACGGUGAAGGGGCUGACGUUCUGGGGAGGGGACGCAUUCAGGCCACAGCAGCCUUCAGGUGAGCAGGGUUGUGCUUUUCGCUGUCUCUGGUCUCUUCACAGCCUGUUUCUAAGAUGCACAUAUGUUUUGCUGUCUGUGCCCCUCACGGUGGAUUCUAGCUGCUGUCUGACCUGCCGUCGUUUGCAUCGGCCACACUGUACGUUUCCAUCGCUGUGGCAGAAACUGAUUGUCCCCAUGUCCAUUCCGCCCUCCUCCGUUCACUGAGGCGGAGCCGGAGUGCUGUGACGUGGCUGUAGGGAAGCAGCUUCAGCCUCAGGGAGAGACCGUCUGCCAGCAGUAGAGCAGGACUGAAAGACUCAGAGUCCAGCUGGCCCCGUGGGCAGGGCCCCGUCUCCCCUGAACCUGUUACCCCACAAAUGCAGCUCCCCUGAUGAUGACACUCCCUGAUAGCACAGAGAAGUCCUGGGAGCAGCCAUAGGAUGUCACCUUGGGAGACGGUGGGGAGCGUUUCUCGGGCUCAUCCAGGAGAGGGGGCCGGCCCGACCCCAUGGGGGCUGCCAGACAGCUUCCCGGGUCGCCUGGACCCAUUCACCAAGGGUCCAUUUGUUUGUACUUUCCCUCCUAGCAGACCCACUGUGCUAUCUGCUGCCUUCCCAGUGUUACUCACUGUUUCCUUUUCAAAUUGCAAGUCCUUUUAAAAUAAAAAUAAUCAUUUAUUUUCAAA